GACGAACGCUGGCGGCGUGCUUAACACAUGCAAGUCGAACGGAAAGGCCUGCUUUCCCUUGUGGAUUGCGGGUACUCGAGUGGCGAACGGGUGAGUAACACGUGAGUGAUCUGCCCCCAACUUGGGUAUAAGCCUGGGAAACUGGGUCUAAUUCCCGAUAGGACUGCAGGGUGGUGCCUGUGGUGGAAAACGAUUUUCUAGUGGUUGGGGAUGAGCUCGCGGCCUAUCAGCUUGUUGGUGGGGUAAUGGCCUACCAAGGCGGCGACGGGUAGCCGGCCUGAGAGGGUGGACGGCAACAUUGGGACUGAGAUACGGACCAGACUACUACGGGAGGCAGCAGUGGGGAAUAUUGCACAAUGGGCGGAAGCCUGAUGCAGCGACGCCGCGUGGGGGAUGACGGCCUUCGGGUUGUAAACUCCUUUCGACAGCGAGGAAGCCACAUGGUUGGAAGGGUGGUGACGGUAGUGGUAGAAGAAGCACCGGCUAACUACGUG
rnacentral:rRNA from 1 species